rnacentral:rRNA from 1 species
UACGUAGGGUGCAAGCGUUGUCCGGAAUUAUUGGGCGUAAAGAGCGUGUAGGCGGCCCGAUUAGUCCGCUGUGAAAGUCCAGGGCUCAACCCUGGAAUGCCGGUGGAUACUGUCGGGCUAGAGUCCGGAAGGGGCGAGUGGAAUUCCUGGUGUAGCGGUGAAAUGCGCAGAUAUCAGGAGGAACACCGAUGGCGAAGGCAGGUCUCUGGGCAUUAACUGACGCUGAGGAGCGAAAGCAUGGGGAGCGAACAGG